rnacentral:lncRNA from 1 species
GGUCAGUAAGGUGAAGGAGUACCAGGUAGUUUAUAUUGAUAUAUAUAUAUUGUGUUGUGUUCCAGCCUGGGUCUGUUGGUCAGUAAGGUGAAGGAGUACCAGGUAGUUUAUAUUGAUAUAUAUAUUGUGUUGUGUUCCAGCCUGGGUCUGUUGGUCAGUAAGGUGAAGGAGUACCAGGUAGUUUAUAUUGAUAUAUAUAUAUUGUGUUGUGUUCCAGCCUGGGUCUGUUGGUCAGUAAGGUGAAGGAGUACCAGGUAGUUUAUAUUGAUAUAUAUAUUGUGUUGUGUUCCAGCCUGGGUCUGUUGGUCAGUAAGGUGAAGGAGUACCAGGUAGUUUAUAUUGAUAUAUAUAUUGUGUUGUGUUCCAGCCUGGGUCUGUUGGUCAGUAAGGUGAAGGAGUACCAGGUAGUUUAUAUUGAUAUAUAUAUAUUGUGUUGUGUUCCAG